AUUGAACGCUGGCGGCAGGCCUAACACAUGCAAGUCGAGCGGAUGAAGGGAGCUUGCUCCUGGAUUCAGCGGCGGACGGGUGGGUAAUGCCUAGGAAUCUGCCUGGUAGUGGGGGAUAACGUCAGGAAAUGGGCGCUAAUACCGCAUACGUCCUGAGGGAGAAAGUGGGGGAUCUUCGGACCUCACGCUCUCAGAUGAGCCUAGGUCGGAUUAGCUAGUUGGUGGGGUAAAGGCCUACCAAGGCGACGAUCCGUAGCUGGUCUGAGAGGAUGAUCAGUCACACUGGAACUGAGACACGGUCCAGACUCCUACGGGAGGCAGCAGUGGGGAAUAUUGGACAAUGGGCGAAAGCCUGAUCCAGCCAUGCCGCGUGUGUGAAGAAGGUCUUCGGAUUGUAAAGCACUUUAAGUUGGGAGGAAGGGCAGUAAGUUAAUACCUUGCUGUUUUGACGUCACCAACAGAAUAAGCACCGGCUAACUUCGUG
rnacentral:rRNA from 1 species